rnacentral:rRNA from 1 species
GAUGAACGCUGGCGGCGUGCUUAACACAUGCAAGUCGAACGAGAAAUGGAGACGGACACCUUCGGGCGGAAGGCUUCAUUUCGAGUGGCGGACGGGUGAGUAACGCGUGGGUAACCUGCCUCAUACAGGGGGAUAACAGUUGGAAACGACUGUUAAUACCGCAUAAGACCACAGCACCGCAUGGUGCGGGGGUAAAAACUCCGGUGGUAUGAGAUGGACCCGCGUUCGAUUAGCCAGUUGGCGGGGUAACGGCCCACCAAAGCGACGAUCGAUAGCCGAUCUGAGAGGAUGACCGGCCACAUUGGGACUGAGACACGGCCCAAACUCCUACGGGAGGCAGCAGUGGGGAAUAUUGCACAAUGGGGGAAACCCUGAUGCAGCGACGCCGCGUGAGUGAAGAAGUACUUCGGGAUGUAAAGCUCUAUCAGCAGGGAAGAAAAUGACGGUACCUGAGUAAGAAGCCCCGGCUAACUACGUG